CCUGCUUCUUUUCAAAGAAAAGUGGACCAAAAGAAGUCCCUUGUCCCCUGAAGGGACAGGGUGUUUGGGCUGUGUUUUUACCGACCUCAGUGGAAUCUACUCCAAAUAGAGCACCACAAGAUGCAGUCUCACUAUGAGACUGCCUUUCUCUUCUAUACAACCAAUUCAUGUAGCUAUUUGAAUAAAUUUCAAUAACUUUGGAACGGUGAAGAGCACAUUGUAUACAUCUGCAGAUCUGGGAUAAAAGCAGCCUGAACAAGAAGGGAAGGCCAACUCACUUGGGGAGGAAUGUACUCCUGAAAUUGAGGAGCCAAGAGAAACCACACAUAAGGAUCAGCUGCUGCUUUUAUAUUUGCCAGAGAGCCCUCUGUGGAGAAAACUGGAAGAGGACGGGAUCAAAUACCCAAGGUUGGCCUUGGGAAAAUUAGAAUACACUACAGUUGUACCUUCCAAAUCAAGAGUCAAGUUCUCCUAUGCAUGAACUCAGGCAGAAACCAGCUAACCAGAAAGAGGCCCACAUGUCAACAAGUAUCAAUAGAAAAAAGAUGUAACAAGACAGUUCUGCUCCUGGCACUUCUUUUGGAUGAUCCCAAGCAAGUUCCUUCUCUCUCUUGAAUGGCUUCUUUACAACGGAAAAUGGAGGGAAAAGUCAUCUAGGUGAACUAGAAGCACACAUUUCAAAUAGACCAGAUGAACUGGGUCCUGGCCCAUGGAUAACACGAGACACAGCAUUCAAGGGCAGGCUGUCCGGUGAGUAGGUUUGAUGCUUGGGUGACACCACCACACACCUAUACAUAAUUCCCAAACUGCUGCCCUGUGCAGAGUAGCAUAACUGGGCUGUAAAUUGUACCCAGGGCAUUAGUGUUUCA